rnacentral:lncRNA from 1 species
AAAUCUGACAUGGUUGAGGAGGGACUCAAAAGCCAGCUGUCCUUAAUAGAGUAGAUCCAUGAUUCUCAGGCUUUUGCCAGGACUUGAUACGUAACUUUCAUCUAGGUUCCACACAGCUACAAGCUAUGAUGACUUAAAGAAGCUUUGAAUUUUACCAGAAAACAAUAUGAACUCUAUCCCUUUCUUUCCUUCUCAAGAAUUCAUAUGAGCAUUGCAAUUCAUGCUGCCUCUUGAUUGACUCGCUGCCAGACGUCCUCUGCAAGCCCCUGAUGGAAUGUUUCAAAGGCCCUCCUGUGGGAAGUUGUUUGGAUCACACAUAUCACAAAAAGAGAAAAAAAUCAAGGCAAGCCUAGGCCAGCUCAUGGAUUUGAAGUCAUCAAACUAUAUAAUCAGAGAUGCUUAGAUUUAGAAGGAACUGUAGAGGUCAUAUCAAUAGAUAUACAUGGAAUGAAUAUUGGUCUAAUGCAUGAAAGAUCCAGUGAAUCUAAUAAAAGCCCUACUGAAUUGCCUGCUAUAUUGCCUGGAAUUGUUAUUUACUUUUCAUGUAUAUUAAUUAACACUUCUGUACCCUUCACUCAGUGUUUGCAUCAUGCCUUGUGUAUGGGACAUAGUUAAGGAGUCCUUGGUACAUCUUUAUUGAAUUUAUACUGUCAGAGAUAUCUGUGCUAAAUGGGGAGGAGCAGAUAUUCA